AUACGUAGGGGGCUAGCGUUAUCCGGAAUUACUGGGCGUAAAGGGUGCGUAGGUGGUUUCUUAAGUCAGAAGUGAAAGGCUACGGCUCAACCGUAGUAAGCUUUUGAAACUAAGAGACUUGAGUGCAGGAGAGGAGAGUAGAAUUCCUAGUGUAGCGGUGAAAUGCGUAGAUAUUAGGAGGAAUACCAGUUGCGAAGGCGGCUCUCUGGACUGUAACUGACACUGAGGCACGAAAGCGUGGGGAGCAAACAGGAUUAGAUACCCUGGUAGUCCACGCCGUAAACGAUGAGUACUAGCUGUCGGGGGUUACCCCCCUCGGUGGCGCAGCUAACGCAUUAAGUACUCCGCCUGGGAAGUACGCUCGCAAGAGUGAAACUUAAAUGAAUUGGCGGG
rnacentral:rRNA from 1 species